rnacentral:lncRNA from 1 species
AUGGGGACAGCGGUGCGUUACGCCGAGGUCGGCACAUCCCUAGCGGGGCCGUGUUGCCCCCUUCCUCCUGCUCUGGCAGGGCGCUUAAUGCCAGCCCCGCUCCCAAAUGUGACUCCCCAGCAGCUGGGGGAACCACGGGAAAGUAUCUCCGUGCUUCCCGAGCAGGCAGCAGCAAUCAGCUKAGCACUAAUCCCCCCAUGUCCUAUGUUGGCCUCCGGGGCCCGUGAUCCCCCCCCGGGGGGGGCCCACGCAAAGCCACCAGCCCGGCGGGCCCCGAGAGGCAGCACCCGCCGCGCUUUCAUCCGGUGCCAAGGUCUGCAGGGAAGCUGGGAUGGUUUUGCGCGAGGGGAGCGGCGGGUGCCGGUGAGUCAGCCCUGCGCCUGCCGCAGACGGGGCUGCGGGCCGAGCCGGGGCCGGCAAGUGCGUCGCCGCACCAGCAUUGCCUGCUGCCUUGGCCUCCCACCAGGACCCACGGGACAUGUCCGCGGCCACAGCCCUUGCCGCCCUUUCUCACACUCCCACGAGCCCAGCAUGGUGCAAACGUGCCCCGGCACUAGCACAGGCACCCCUCGGUCCCCAGCACGUGCCCCACAGCACGGCCCGCGUGGCGUUCCACCGCUGUGCUUAACCAGCCGGCCCAAAGCUGGUUUGCAGCGCCGUGGUUUGUCUCCUGCCGAGAGCCAGGCGCCCCUGAGCCGGGGAAGCUUGCUUGGGAUAAGGGCAUUUUGCAGGAGCUCAGCAGGGCUGCAAGGCGAGGGGAGGGUGUGUGCGGACGCGAUCCCGGCGGGAGGUUGGGGGGGAGGACGCCRCUGGCUCCCACGGUGCCGCGGGAACCUUCCCACGCGCCCCACCAGCUGCUGCCAGGGGGCCGGCGGGACCGUGCCGGCGUCUCCCCCCGCCGAGCGUGCGCGCUCCCUCCUUCGCCUGCUCCGGGCGAGGGGCGACGCGAAGACGGGCUCAGGCACCUCCAGCAGCGCCCGCCGGAGCGUGGGAACGGGGCGGCCCGUGCCUGCCUGCCCGCCGGAGGGGCUGAGCCCCGGCCCCAGCACCCGGGCUCGCAGCCCGCCCGGCCCAGCCCUGCUGAGUCAGCGCGCGGGGAAAGCCGUGCCAAGGCCCCGCCGCCCGGCUGCACUUUCCCGGCCCGUGGGAAUAGCUGCUGCAGCACGCAGCUUGGGGGAAGAGCACCCCAGCAAGGGGCGCCCGGCCCCCCGGGAUCCAGCCUGCCCACCAAGCCCUGCCCCGGGUGGGGGGGGACGUGGCGGCGCACGCUCGGCCCCCGGGACACACGCAACGCCUGAAAGCCCCUCCGUCAGCAACUCCGAGGCCGUCCUGCCCCGGCGAACCGGCUGA